rnacentral:tRNA from 1 species
ACUAUUUUGGCAGAUAAGUGCAUUAGAUUUAGAAUCUAUAAAUGUGAAGUUUUAUUUUACAGGUAGUA